UACAGAGGUCUCAAGCGUUGUUCGGAUUCAUUGGGCGUAAAGGGCGCGUAGGCGGCGCGGCAAGUCGGGUGUGAAAUCUCGGAGCUUAACUCCGAAACUGCAUUCGAUACUGCCGUGCUUGAGGACUGGAAAGGAGACUGGAAUUUACGGUGUAGCGGUGAAAUGCGUAGAUAUCGUAAGGAAGACCAGUGGCGAAGGCGGGUCUCUGGACAGUUCCUGACGCUGAGGCACGAAGGCCAGGGGAGCAAACGGG
rnacentral:rRNA from 1 species